rnacentral:snRNA from 1 species
GUGUCAUUUGAAUGCACAUAUACUAAAAUUAGAACGAUACAGAGAAGAUUAGCAUGGCCCCUGCACAAGGAUGACAUGCAAAUUCGUGAAGCAUUCCAUAUUUUU